AGGAGCUUAGGUUAACUAAGACCAAGAGCCUUCAAAGCCCUAAGUAAGUGCCCUAAUACUUAGCUCCUG
rnacentral:tRNA from 1 species